AACGAACGCUGGCGGCAUGCCUAACACAUGCAAGUCGAACGAGACCUUCGGGUCUAGUGGCGCACGGGUGCGUAACGCGUGGGAACCUGCCCUUAGGUUCGGAAUAACUCCCCGAAAGGGGUGCUAAUACCGGAUAAUGUCUUCGGACCAAAGAUUUAUCGCCGUUGGAUGGGCCCGCGUUGGAUUAGCAAGUUGGUAGGGUAAAAGCCUACCAAGGCGACGAUCCAUAGCUGGUCUGAGAGGAUGGGCAGCCACACUGGGACUGAGACACGGCCCAGAAUCCUACGGGAGGCAGCAAUGGGGAAUAUUGGACUAUGGGCGAAAGCCUGAUCGAGCAAUGCCGCGUGAGUGAUGAAGGCCUUAGGGUUGUAAAGCUCUUUUAUCCGGGAUGAUAAUGACAGUACCGGGAGAAUAAGCUCCGGCUAACUCCGUG
rnacentral:rRNA from 1 species